AAGGAAAGCUCAGGCUCAGCUGCUCACGAAAGUUCACGUGCGCAAGCAUCCGACGCAAGGAGCUACUGCUCGGGCAUAUACUUCUCUGAGAACUGGAAUAGAGCCAGAAAGCUCCAACCAGAGCGUUAGAAACAUCUAUAACUAUUCUGGAACCUUCCAGCUAGAAGACAAGCUUUGAAGACAAUGUGCCCCACCUGGAGGAUUGGGUGACUGAGAUAUUGAUCUAAGAAGUGAAGGAAUCCAGUGCUUUGACCGUGCAUGGCAAACACACUACCAUAGAGACGCAAGCCACCAUCCAUCCCCGUGCUUCUUUGUUAAUG